CCUAUGGUGGGGUUUUUUUGCCGAUCCAUGUGGUUGGCUAUACUGCCAUUUGGGUUCGGAAAAUUGAUCUUGCCAUAGUGUUGUGAAGCGCGUGAGAGGUACCUGGGUUGCUUGUGUCGACAGGCUCUCUGCAGGGGCAGUGAACUGUUUAACUAUGGCCCUUCUCAUUGUUUGAUUCUUGGGCCGUCGUUGGCCUUUGGAAGGUUUAGAAGGUUUCUUGUGUUGAAUGCCUAAGAUAUGGUACUACGUGGUCCCACCAAAGAAAUCUCCGCUCGGCACCCCCUUGAGUUGUGGUGAGUGGACUGUUCAUGCUGGGAUGUAUUGGCCAGCCAUGUACGUUCAUGAUGUGGUGGAUUGGCCAAUGGAUCCUUUUGCGGCUCCCUGGGAUGCGGAAUGUUGUGUGGGUGGUGAACUAAUCAUCUUCCCGAUUAUGGUUUCUCUUGCUUACUAGGAACGACAGUUUGUAUGUGCAUUGAUUGCUAGUUUUCCCUAGUGG
rnacentral:misc_RNA from 1 species